AUUACUGCAGCUUGCUAGCAGAAGACAGACAGCACAGUGCAGUAGCUCGCUCCGAUCCCACCGUACGUAAUGUGUGCAGACAUUACACACUGCAUGUAAACAAACGGUAUAAUAUGCAUUGCCACAUUUACUUGUGUUAUUCGAAGUGAGACGCAAGUGAGAAACCCGGACUGCUCCGUGCGUGUAAUGUACGUACGUGGAAACAAUAAUUUCUCAGUCACUCAGCUUUUAGAAUACUGGAUAUUUUGCGUUUGUGUUAAUCUACAGUUAAAAGUGAUUGUUUCAUAACCGUCUGGUAUUGUAAUUACAAGACUGUGAGCAGUACUUCUGGAAUUCGAGGAUCUGCAGGUAUACUGUGAACGAUUGACUGUGGGGCCUACGUCCUGUACCAGCACGUCGACUCAUCUCGACCCCAGGAGCUCUGGCUGAGGUGAACGGAAUAUCUCUGUAGUAAGUCCCGCUAGACCGUGAGGAUAUCCACACUUCGCUGCAUUGAUUAAACUUCUGUUAAACCUUCCCGUCCUUUCAGCUCUGGGUUUAUCUUCCCGUUACUGAUGUUUCGGAGAGGCAUACUGUAGAUUCAAAGGUUUCUCGUUCAUGAGAGGGUUUCAAUGUUUCAUUUCUACGGCUUCUGAUGCUGAUAUUCUCCCAUUUGCAUUUUGGAAAAGAAGCCCCUCAGCCCGUCAAUCAUCGGAUAAGAUCCUUCACUUCACCAAUAUUAGGGAGGGAGUCUCGGUGUGAGCCACCAUUCUUGAAGUCGCCUUCGGUCCAUGUACGCUCUUCUCCUGCAUCUCUCUACGCAAUAAUUGACUUUUUUUUUCAACCUUAUUCACGAAAUCAUCUCCACAUUGGAUCAAAACUCCAAACUAAUUUUUCAUUUUCAUGACAUGCUUACCCUGCCGUUGGCUGCGUUUGAGGCGAGUCUUAUCAGAAAUGAUUGAAUGAAACGCUGAUUAAUCCCAUCACAGUGUCUUCUACUCAUGUAACGCAGAGUUAUUUCAAGCCAAGGAAUCACAGAGGCGUAGAGCCAGCUUGAAUUCAUCGGCAGUGUUUCGCUAAUGAACCCCCUGUGUCGUCUAAUAUCAGCAAAUGAAACUAACUUAAUGAGUUUUUUGUUUACAUUGUGUUUCCCGCUUCAUUCAGUUAUUCAAUCUAAUUCGACGCAGGUUAAUUACCACCACUGAUUUCCCCCUUCGGUUUUUUUUUCAUUUCCAUGGCCCCUUUAACCCUCCUUUGACUUUAAUCAACUCAACUCAAUUGCGGUGUAUGUCAUUAGCGCGAGUUCGGAAAAUUGGUAAACACUCUGCUUCAAUUUGUGGUGGAGCGCAAAGAGAGGGGUCUAUUUUCUCUGCCUAUUGUAAGGACCGACAAAGGUUUGGUUACGGAGCCCGGGUUUAAUUCAUUACGGGUCCAUUCAAUCCAGCGAAGAGUAGAUAAAGUAUCGGUGCAUUUCAUCGGUCUGCCUACCCCCGGAUUCUUCAUUAGAUGUUAGAAGCUGGGAUCAUCUCCGACAUAAAAAUACAUUCAUCAGAAGCAUCUCCAGCUCCGUCUUCUUCGUCAUCUUCGAAUUUUGCCAGACUGAGGAGCUACCACGGUGACUGCCUGCUUUGGCACUGUGUAGUAUUUCGUAUAGCAUCUUUCAUACCAAGGGAACAGUGUUACAUUUUCCACUCUUCAUAAAUCUCAUUUUAUUCUUUUUUUCAAAGGAGCUGAGAUAUUAUAUUUCAUGUGAGUUAUAUAUUUACUCUCCUCUUGAUGCCUAUUUUUUAUUACUGUGAUUCAUAAUCCAGCACCUUGCCGGGAAUUUCAUUUCAAGAUCUCAAGAUUUUUUUUUUCGGAGUGGUUCAGGAGGAAGGCAACAUAAUUGCGAAAUAACUGUCAACCCUCAGCACCGAGGAAGUUGAUCGAACAAACGAGUUGCGGACGACGUGAAUAGAUUAUUAUAUCGAGUUUUGAUAAUAGGCAUUGUGCACCUGUGCAUACAUCGAACCAACCCUCGCUUAUAACCCUUCGAUGAGCCCGCCAUCUACAAACAUGUCUCACACACAGGAUCGGAGCCAAAUCGUAGACAAAGCUCUCCUGUGUUUGAGGAAGAGAAGGUAUUGAUCAGAUAAAGCAGCCCACACUGGUCGUUUUAAAAGGUUUCGCACUUGAUGAAUUAGUUGAUGGAAGGUUCGUUGAAAUCACACUCGCGGCUUCUAAUCAGCCAUUUAUCUAAGGAAAAGCACUUUACUCUAAACAUGGCCAACUCGGCACCUGCCUUAGGAAAGAGAUGGCAGUAUCGACAUCGUUCAGAGUCCCCCACCAACCAGGGGACAAAAUCUCCCGCAAUAUUCCAAGAUAGAUUUGUUUUCAUGAGGCCCUCUCCUCCGUGUCCUCGUGGUCCCUUUCUUUCGGGUAUUGUUACUCAUUCAAAUCCGAUACUUUCUGAAUGGUGAAUGUAUGAAUAUUAGCCCGAGGUAAUCAGUUUCAUGUUCCACUUAUGCACUCUUAUAUCGCGCGAGCGAUGCAUUAAAAAUUUUGGCGAUGCUUUCAAAAAACCCUUUGCAAUUUUUAUUUAUGGAACAUUUUCUUUCAUGUCAUAUAAUUGCAUGACCAUUGAUAUCUUUGGUUGGAUCACAUUGAUAUGAAUCUACCAGUACAAUGUCAGUAACUACUUUCUAGUUCUGUAGUAAAGAUUCAAGUAGAUGAUUUGAAUCAACACAGUUCGUUCAAAUAUCUGACCUCUGAUCUCGAAUAAUCAUGAUACUCUUUACAGCUAUAAAAAUAUUUGUACGUAUUAAAUCGGAGGGGGUACAACUGAACGAUUAUGAUCUUGAUAACAAUUACAUCAGGGAUGGCAUUAAUAAGGCGAAACGAUAAAUAUAUAUUUUACAAUAUGAAUCAUAAGAAUAUACAGCCUGGUUUGGGAAUGUAGUGCUCUUUGUAUACAUACAUUGUAUACCGGCAUGCUUUUCCGGGCGGCAUUCCCCAUUUGUAGGGGCAACAUUGAAGUUAGAAAGUGCACUUAAGAUAUGCUCUCUGCAUAUUAAUAACCUCCCAUCCGUGCACUUUAGGUAGAUCAAAUUUGUUAUGCUGAAUACAGUGAUAACAGCCACCGAAACACUCUGCAAAUUUCAUGUAAAAUGUAUCUACAUGUUCAUGUUUAAUAUAUCAUCUAAAUUUUGUCCGUGUAUGGAUUAAUUUGUGACGUCAGUUCGUCUAUGUUUUCACCCAUAAUCCCGAUUAUGUUUUUAAUGUAGUGUAAUUAGGCUGUUGCGCGAAUGCAUAUGGGAAAUAAGCAUGAUUGUAUGUAGGCAAUGCAAAUCACUUUCUGCAAGGCCUCAUGCAGCGCAUGUCGUAUAGACAGGAUUCAUUAAUAUGAUAUAUCACAACAUGAUUAUACAUGUUUAACUACAUUAUUACUAUUAGUGAUCAACGUGAUCAGCGGUAAUCAUGGUAUUAAACAGCUUAAGGCAGAUAUGAAUUUCCUGUUUUUUGCAUAUUGUUUGUAAAUAACUUAUUCGAAUCACUAAUUCGAUGUUUACUAUACAUUCAACGAUGACAAGAAGCAUGCAUGAAGUUGGCAGAAUUGAGGUACUGACAGUACAUGAAAUGCAAAGGAUGGGGGUUUAUAU